UACGUAGGGCGCAAGCGUUGUCCGGAAUUAUUGGGCGUAAGGAGCUCGUAGGCGGCUUGUCACGUCGGGUGUGAAAGCCCGGGGCUUAACCCCGGGUCUGCAUUCGAUACGGGCUAGCUAGAGUGUGGUAGGGGAGAUCGGAAUUCCUGGUGUAGCGGUGAAAUGCGCAGAUAUCAGGAGGAACACCGGUGGCGAAGGCGGCAUCCUGGACCGAGAUUGACGCUGAUGCGCGAAAGCCAGGGGAGCAAACGGG
rnacentral:rRNA from 1 species